rnacentral:rRNA from 1 species
UACGUAGGUGGCAAGCGUUGUCCGGAUUUACUGGGUUUAAAGGGUGCGUAGGUGGGCAAGUAAGUCAGUGGUGAAAUCUCCGGGCUUAACCCGGAAACUGCCAUUGAUACUAUUUGUCUUGAAUACUGUGGAGGUCAGCGGAAUAUGUCAUGUAGCGGUGAAAUGCUUAGAUAUGACAUAGAACACCAAUUGCGAAGGCAGCUGGCUACACAAAUAUUGACACUGAGGCACGAAAGCGUGGGGAUCAAACAGG